GUAAAUUCUAUUCUUUUUAAAAUAAAUAACACAGGGUUUCUUUACCCUACAUUCUCAGCCGGAGGGUCACAAAUGUGAAAGUGUACAACGGCUUUGUUGCUAUAGAUUACACGCGAGACAGACAGAGAAAUCGAAUGUUAUGAUAGCAUCUUGCUACUUAAGAGAAUGCACCUGUCUGUUGUAUUUAAGGGAUUGAGUAUACACAUUUUUAUCAACGUUUU